rnacentral:lncRNA from 1 species
AUUCAAGUACGCUUACUCACAGUUGAUGAACCUUUUCAAACACAACUGCAGAAUUUGGUGGAAAGCAAAACUCUCUUUAAUGAAAAUCUUUGAUGUGUGCUAUUUCAAUAUCAGUGAUUUGAGUCAGACUGAUAAUGUUUAGAAAUCAUGUGUGCUAGUGCAGUUUAUGUGAUGCAUGAGGUCAGCUUGCUUAAAGGUUUGACAAAUAAAGUAAUACUGAAUCGAAGUAAAGGUUGAAAAAACACAAUUAGUUUGCUUUUGCAGUUGUCGUGUAGUUUGUUGAUAUAAAAUGGUAAGAACAGAUUCAAUAAGAUAAAAAGAUAAAACUUAAAGUACAACACACAAAUAUUUUAACGUGGUUUAGAAGAACUACUCCUACGUCCAUGACCCUUAUAAACAGGAGGAAUCCUUUAACCUUGGAUUCCUUGUUUUGUAACUGUAAGUCAACAUGACAAAUCAGAUCAUCUUAGACUCAUUACACGGGUUACGCGGCCAUGACUGUUGUUUCAUAGCAAUUUCUUGGUUGCAAUUCCGUUACUUAGCAAAUUUACGCGGUUGCAAUAUCGUACUUAGAAAUUUACCCGGUUGCAAUACCGUUGCCAACAAUUUUCAUUGUUGCAAUACCAUUGCUUGGAAGUUUUAUGAUCUCGUUACUUGAAAAUUUACACGGUUGCAAUCUUAGUUUUUAUUUACGGGUAACAUGUGUGGCUUCGUCAACUUUUAGACUUCAUACCCAAAGCUUACUCAUCGACUUCCUUACUUUAACACCUUACUUUUUCAGAGGAUGAGAUCUUAACAAAAAUGGGUAGCCUGAGGGGGAGGAAGGGGGGAGGAGGAGGUUCUCCAACUACCUGAACGCACUGUUACAAGGAAUGACUGAGAUGUUAAAUCUGCACAUCCAUACUUGAUGUUGGCGUUCGGCAGUCUUCCUUGUACUUUAUUCUGAAAAAUAGGAUUCAAAUUUAAUGCACAUUUCAGAAGCAUUAAAUGUUCAAAAAGAUGAUAUGUUUUGAGAUUGACAUUGCUUUAAGCUUGUUGACCUUAGAGUUGACGUGGCAUGCGCCAUCUUGAUGUCAUUCAGUCAAUCAACUUUUGAAUGAACUAUGGUUCCAUCAGUUUUGCAUUGAGAGUAGCAAAGUCUUCAUGCUGGUGGCUUGUACGAACCAUGAUCAGCUAACCCUCUUUGCUAAUCCUUCAGGCUGUGAUUUUUCCGUCAGCCUGGAACACUUUCAGCUGGAUCUUCUGCUGAGAUUUUUUCUUCACUUGAUCCUGAGUUUUAGUUUAGUAACCAUCGACUUCUUCACUAAACUAAAUCAACUUAAAAUAUAUAAUACUUUUAAGUUAUGUUUUGGUCAUCAACAGAGUUCCAUCGUUGGGUUUUGGCAUUAUUCAAAAUUUAGAAAUUUUCCAAUAAUUUUUUCAUUUUUUAUGAUGCCA